rnacentral:rRNA from 1 species
GACGAACGCUGGCGGCGUGCCUAACACAUGCAAGUCGAACGAGAUUCAUGGGAGCUUGCUCCCGGAAGAUCUAGUGGCGAACGGGUGAGUAACACGUGAGAAACCUGCCCUGGAGUGGGGAAUAACUCGGGGGAAACUCGAGCUAAUACCGCAUACCCUCGGAUGGUCGCAUGGCCGACCGAGGAAAGAUUUAUCGCUCUAGGAGGGUCUCGCGGCCUAUCAGCUAGUUGGUGGGGUAACGGCCUACCAAGGCAACGACGGGUAGCUGGUUUGAGAGAACGAUCAGCCACACUGGGACUGAGACACGGCCCAGACUCCUACGGGAGGCAGCAGUGGGGAAUCUUGCGCAAUGGGCGAAAGCCUGACGCAGCAACGCCGCGUGCGGGAUGACGGCCUUCGUGGUUGUAACCGACUUUCAGCAGGGAC